GCGCGCAAAAAUUUCGUAAGAGGCUCCGCUUAUCUGUUUUCAUUCCCCGCCGGCCGCCGCCACCCCGAGCGCGCCCUUCUCCGCCAAAUCGCCACCGCGCGCUCCGAAAAUCCAAUCUCCUCCGCGCGCCCUCCCAAUCGCCUCUGCACGCGGGCUGUCAAAACCUCACACCGGCACAUCGCAUCUCCCCGAAAUCCUCACGCCUCUCCUCUGCCAAAUCUUGAGCCGCCUCCACCAGCUUGACCAUGCGUCCCUCCUCAGCCAAAUCUUGAGCCGCCUUCACCUGCCUGCCCAUCCACCGAGCAGGACGCGGCCACCCUGCUCCGGCGGCAUCCACGCCCCAAGGAGGACGCCACCCCAACCUGCAGGAAGCCGCCACCCCUGCUCCGGCGGCAUCCAAGGAGGACGCCGCCCCGACCAGCAGGACGCCGCCACCGCUGCUCCGCCGGCAGUCACGCCCCGAGGAGGACGACGCUGCGGCCCCUGCAUCAACGCGCCCGUAUUCAACCCCUAGAAGGACGCCCCCGAGCAGACGCCGCUGAUUCGCCCUCUACGACGCGCCCCCGACCAGGACUCCAAAAUUGCCAGCAACCUAGUCCACCGCCUGGACACAUCCACCAGCACUUCAAUUUAUUGCUGCUCUACAUCAAUAUCUACCAGCUGCCUCCUUGCCGCUUUGCUGGCUCACUGAAGGUCAAGGGUAAAGGACCUGGUGACCAUAUCGUAAGAAAUUGGGAAAUUUUUGAACGUCCACAACAUCAACAUUUCACAAUACCUGACCUUGUGCAAUGUACUGAAACAGGAGUUGUCAUUUGCAAAGUUUAGAGAAACAUCAAGUGUCUUCUCUUUGACAGAAGAAUAACUCAAUACCACAGGUUUAACUUCAAUAUUCGGAGCAACUACCUUCUAGCUACGAAGUAUCCUGGGAAGGAGCUUGUGCAACGGUGGGAGGUCCUAGCUAGAGGUAGCGUGACGCUCGAUCGUGUCGGCAGCAGGACCAGUGCUCGCUAAUGCUAUUUUGUUUUGGACAGAUUUGAGACCUUUUGUACGUGUCAUGUGAAUUUGUGUAGCCAAACAUCAUGUGUGUUGUGAUAAGCCAAACUUAUGGCUGUGUAGAGACUAGAGACUGAUUUGUCUAGCUGGGCUACCUCCUACUUUUUGUAUAUGGUUGUCUGCUUGAACUGUGAGUUGUGACAAGCCAAACAUAUGAACUGUUAGGUUGACUGAACUGAGUUCAGUGACAAGACAAAUGUUGAUGUCUUCAAUGACAACUAAGUUAUAUAUGUUCACUUGUGUGUUUGAUA